AGUCGAGGGGCAGCAUGGUCUUAGCUUGCUAAGGCUGAUGGCGACCGGCGCACGGGUGAGUAACACGUAUCCAACCUGCCGUCUACUCUUGGCCAGCCUUCUGAAAGGAAGAUUAAUCCAGGAUGGGAUCAUGAGUUCACAUGUCCGCAUGAUUAAAGGUAUUUUCCGGUAGACGAUGGGGAUGCGUUCCAUUAGAUAGUAGGCGGGGUAACGGCCCACCUAGUCAACGAUGGAUAGGGGUUCUGAGAGGAAGGUCCCCCACAUUGGAACUGAGACACGGUCCAAACUCCUACGGGAGGCAGCAGUGAGGAAUAUUGGUCAAUGGGCGAUGGCCUGAACCAGCCAAGUAGCGUGAAGGAUGACUGCCCUAUGGGUUGUAAACUUCUUUUAUAAAGGAAUAAAGUCGGGUAUGCAUACCCGUUUGCAUGUACUUUAUGAAUAAGGAUCGGCUAACUCCGUGCCAGCAGCCGCGGUAAUACGGAGGAUCCGAGCGUUAUCCGGAUUUAUUGGGUUUAAAGGGAGCGUAGAUGGAUGUUUAAGUCAGUUGUGAAAGUUUGCGGCUCAACCGUAAAAUUGCAGUUGAUACUGGAUGUCUUGAGUGCAGUUGAGGCAGGCGGAAUUCGUGGUGUAGCGGUGAAAUGCUUAGAUAUCACGAAGAACUCCGAUUGCGAAGGCAGCCUGCUAAGCUGCAACUGACAUUGAGGCUCGAAAGUGUGGGUAUCAA
rnacentral:rRNA from 1 species